UGCAGUCGAGCGCCCUGCUUGCAGGGAGCGGCAGACGGGUGAGUAAUGCAUGGGAAUCUACCCAGCUCUACGGAAUAACUCAGGGAAACUUGAACUAAUACCGUAUGCGCCCUUCGGGGGAAAGAUUUAUCGGAGUUGGAUGAGCCCAUGUCUGAUUAGCUAGUUGGUGGGGUAAAGGCCUACCAAGGCGACGAUCAGUAGCUGGUCUGAGAGGAUGAUCAGCCACACUGGGACUGAGACACGGCCCAGACUCCUACGGGAGGCAGCAGUGGGGAAUAUUGGACAAUGGGCGCAAGCCUGAUCCAGCCAUGCCGCGUGAGUGAUGAAGGCCCUAGGGUUGUAAAGCUCUUUCACCGGUGAAGAUAAUGACGGUAACCGGAGAAGAAGCCCCGGCUAACUUCGUGCCAGCAGCCGCGGUAAUACGAAGGGGGCUAGCGUUGUUCGGAAUUACUGGGCGUAAAGCGCGCGUAGGCGGAUCGGUCAGUUAGGGGUGAAAUCCCGGGGGCUCAACCCCGGAACUGCCUCU
rnacentral:rRNA from 1 species